UACGUUCCCGGGCCUUGUACACACCGCCCGUCACACCACGAAAGUCGGCAAUACCCGAAGCCGGUGGCCUAACCCUUUGGGAGGGAGCCGUCGAAGGUAGGGUCGAUGAUUGGGGUG
rnacentral:rRNA from 1 species